rnacentral:tmRNA from 1 species
GGGGCCGUUUUGGAUUCGACGGGUAUUGGUCGCGCUAUGACUGCAUUUAGGGGUUGUGGCCCUAUAAUCCACUCAGUCAGAAUAACUGCAAACAAUUCAAACAAAACUUACGCAUUAGCUGCUUAAUAACCAGUUAGCGUAGUCUAAGGCAUGUUCGUCCAUGAUAUGUUUUAGACCACUAAUAGUGGACUACGCUUUUAAACUUUAAUCCAGAGUGCUAAAGCGGAAAUUAAUUGGAUUAGCCGUUCUGAUCACGAAGUCAAUUCCGUGUGCGGAUUGGUGAAAUUUAAAUAGAAUUACUAUGAAUGUAGAUGUUGUAGUAGUGAGAUAUUCGGACGCGGGUUCGAACCCCGCCGGCUCCA